CUCUCUCUCUCUCUCUCUCUGUUUCCAGAUCAUCAUGUGAGCUGCUUCCCUCCGGCCAUUCUCUUCUGCCAUGAUGUUCUGCCUUAUCUGGAACCUCGAGUAAUGGAGCCUGCUGUCUGUGGGCUGAAACCACUGAAACUGUCCAUGAUCUUCAAACAGCGGACAUUAACAAAGUCUGGGAACAUUUUUUUCACCACUUGGAGAAUCCUACUGGUAUCUAAUGGCUGAAGCUAAAUGAACUGCUAAAUACCUUACAAUGCACCAGGCACACGACCCACCAUGGGAUUAUCUGACUCAAAAUGUCAAUAAUACCUCUGUUGGGAAGCCAUGCUCUAGAUUUCUGUUUUGUCAUCUGUAAAAUGAGAGGUUUAAAUUACAUCAUUUAAAAAAAUCAUUUUCAGAGACAAAAUACGGAAAGGUAGAUGAAGUAUUUGGAAAAGUAUAUAACUUCACAUUAAAUUUGGAAAUGUAUCAUG